rnacentral:rRNA from 1 species
AGGACGAACGCUGGCGGCGUGCUUAACACAUGCAAGUCGAGCGGUAAGGCCUUUCGGGGGUACACGAGCGGCGAACGGGUGAGUAACACGUGGGUGAUCUGCCCUGCACUUCGGGAUAAGCCUGGGAAACUGGGUCUAAUACCGGAUAUGACCUCCUAUCGCAUGGUGGGUGGUGGAAAGAUUUAUCGGUGCAGGAUGGGCCCGCGGCCUAUCAGCUUGUUGGUGGGGUAAUGACCUACCAAGGCGACGACGGGUAGCCGACCUGAGAGGGUGACCGGCCACACUGGGACUGAGACACGGCCCAGACUCCUACGGGAGGCAGCAGGUGGGGAAUAUGCACAAUGGGCGAAAGCCUGAUGCAGCGACGCCGCGGUGGAGGAGUGGACGGUCCGUUCGGGUUAGUAAACCUUCUUCCAGCGAGGACGAAAGCGCUAAG